GUGGGGAAUAUUGGGCAAUGGGCGAAAGCCUGAUCCAGCAACGCCGCGUGUGCGAUGACGGCCUUCGGGUUGUAAAGCACUUUUAGAGGAGAUGAGAAAGGACAGUAUCCUCUGAAUAAGCCUCGGCGAACUACGUGCCAGCAGCCGCGGUAAAACGUAGGAGGCUAGCGUUAUCCGGAUUUAUUGGGCGUAAAGCGCGUGCAGGCGGUUUAUCAAGUUGGAUGUGAAAGCUCCUGGCUUAACUGGGAGAGGUCGUUCAAAACUGAUAGACUAGAGAAUGGUAGAGGGAGGUGGAAUUCCGGGUGUAGUGGUGAAAUGCGUAGAUAUCCGGAGGAACACCAGUGGCGAAAGCGGCCUCCUGGGCCAUUUCUGACGCUAAGACGCGAAAGCUAGGGUAGCAAACGGGAUUAGAUACCCUAGUAGUCC
rnacentral:rRNA from 1 species